GACGAACGCUGGCGGCGUGCUUAACACAUGCAAGUCGAACGAAGUGGCGAACGGGUGAGUAACGCGUAAUCAACCUGCCCUUCAGAGGGGGACAACAGUUGGAAACGACUGCUAAUACCGCAUACUGAAGGAGGGGAUUGCGUCUGAUUAGCUAGUUGGAGGGGUAAUGGCCCACCAAGGCGAGGAUGGGUAGCCGGACUGAGAGGGUGAUCGGCCACAAGGGGACUGAGACCCGGCGCUUACUCCUACGGGAGGCAGCAGUGGGGAAUAUUGGAAAAAGGACCAAAGUCUGAUCCAGCAAUGCUGUGUGGACGAUGAAGUUUUUCGGAAUGUAAAGUGCUGUCAGUUGGGAAGCGGUACCAACAGAAGAAGUGACGGCUAACUACGUGCCAGCAGCCGCGGUAAUAC
rnacentral:rRNA from 1 species